CUGCAGCUCAAGUGGUGAUCAUUAUUAUUGGGCCUAAAACGUCCGUAGCCGGUUUAGUAAAUGCCUGGGUAAACCGUGUAGCUUAACUAUACGACUUCCGGGUAGACUGCUAAACUUGAGACCGGGAGAGGCUAGAGGUACUCCUGGGGUAGAGGUGAAAUUCUGUAAUCCUAGGGGGACCACCAGUGGCGAAGGCGUCUAGCUAGAACGGGUCUGACGGUGAGGGACGAAGCCCUGGGGCACAAACCGGAUUAGAUACCCCAGUAGUCC
rnacentral:rRNA from 1 species